UGGGGAAUUUUGGACAAUGGGCGAAAGCCUGAUCCAGCAAUGCCGCGUGUGUGAAGAAGGCCUUCGGGUUGUAAAGCACUUUUGUCCGGAAAGAAAUCCUUGGCUCUAAUACAGUCGGGGGAUGACGGUACCGGAAGAAUAAGCACCGGCUAACUACGUGCCAGCAGCCGCGGUAAUACGUAGGGUGCAAGCGUUAAUCGGAAUUACUGGGCGUAAAGCGUGCGCAGGCGGUUUGCUAAGACCGAUGUGAAAUCCCCGGGCUCAACCUGAGAACUGCAUUGGUGACUGGCAGGCUAGAGUAUGGCAGAGGGGGGUAGAAUUCCACGUGUAGCAGUGAAAUGCGUAGAGAUGUGGAGGAAUACCGAUGGCGAAGGCAGCCCCCUGGGCCCAAUACUGACGCUCAUGCACGAAAGGCGUGGGGGAGCAAACAGGAUUAGAUACCCCUGGUAGUCCACGCCCCUAAAACGAUGUCAACUAGCUUGUUGGGGG
rnacentral:rRNA from 1 species